rnacentral:rRNA from 1 species
AGCUCCAAUAGUGUAUAUUGAAGUUGUUGUAGUUAAAAAGAUCCUAGUUUGAUGUAUAGUGGGAGUGUCAGUAUGACACUUUAUGUUGUAGAUUGCAUUGUCUUUGACCAUCCUUGGAAAGAAUCAGUCUUGCAUUAGGUUCUUGGGCUGAAGAUGUCCAUCUUUUACUGUUGAAAAAUUGGAGUGUUCAAAGCAGGCUUAAGUCAUUGAAUAUAUUAGCAUGAAAUAAUGAUAUAGGACGUUUGUGCUAUGUUAUUGGUUUGCGUGCCAUACUAAUGAAUAAUAUGGACAGUUGGGGGUAUUUGUAUUCCAAUGUCAGAGGUGGAAUUCUUUGAUUUUUGGAAGACAAACUACUGGGAAAGCGUUUACCAAGGAUAAUUUCA